UUUUCCUAUAUUGAUCCUUCAUUUACUGCACUUUGAGCAGCUUCCUAUUGUUGACCUCCAUCAAAGCUGGUUCAACACUAUCUUUCACAUAAUCUGCCAGAGCAUGCUUCUCUUCUUCGACUGUCUGCUUCACUUGCAAAAGUCCUCUGCCACCUGCUUUUCUGGGCAAAUAUAGCUUGUCAACAUCACUACACAGGUGCAGCGCAUAGUGUAUGGUCAUCAAUUUUCUUGUUUUCCUAUCCAGGCUGUCCAGCUCUGCCUGUGUCCAGUUUAUGAUCCCAGCAGUAUAUCUGAUGAUGGGUAUGGCCCAGUUUGUAGAACUUGCCCAAAGUCUUAAAAGAACUCACCUCCACUGACUGAGAGCCAAGCUGUUCCCUCAGAAACAGACACCAAUUGGCAAGGAAAAAAGCUAUCUAUGCAGAAGCAAAUGGGCUGCUUCAGUGAUUUAAAUGCUUCUGUCUCUGGGACAACCUAAUUCAAUUGAACUCUUUAAGUUUUCCUUUGUUGGUGUGCUUUGUUCCAGGCCAGAUACUGCUAUGCAAGGGAACCUUUUCAUUUGUUUUCAUUGAUACUGCCUAGAUCACUUUUAUGGUUGUGGGUUACAUCUUUUUAAAGUGUAUCCUUUAUUUAUAUUUAUUUGAUUUAGACUAUGAAGUGAAUCUGCCCUGAAAAACAAUGGUUCUGAAAGGUAUUUGCAUUUCCUUAACAGAGAGGAGGAGAGCUGAUUGGGCCACUGGUAGCCUAACUUGCACCAUUGGGAGAAAGGCUUUGCCAUCUCCAGUUUGAGAAUCUGAAUGAUAGUGUAGCACUUCCCAAUUCCACUACUUCUGAAUCCUUGAAGAAGGGAGAAUCAUUGCCUGCAGGGAGAAGAGCACUGGAAUUAAUGGUAUCUUUCAGGAAAUCUGUCAUGAGUAUGGAUCCUUUAUUGUCAGUUGUAUAUAUCCAUAGCAAAUUGAAAGAAUGUUUAUUUCAGGGCGGCUAAGGAAAACGUGCCGUACAAGAAUAUUCUGUCGGUUAAUUGACUUGUUACAGCAUGUGAUGGACAAAAGACAUGGUCUCUAGGAUGAUUUGAUCUCAUAGUUUCAAACUUAAAUCUUUUGUCUUUCCUGUUUAUUGCAGCAUAAACAUAUUAACAGUUCUUCAAAUAACAUGGUCAAUAAAAAGGAGAGCAAGCCCAAGGGCUUUCUUCUUUUCUUUCUUUUCUUUUUUGGCACCUCAAAACGCAAAUCUCUCACAAAGCAAAAACAAACAGACAAACUUAGAGCUGCCAAUGAGCAGUAGCAUCAGAAAGUUAUUUGCAGAUGUCUGGAAGCAAGUUUCUCUUACUGGCCAUUUAAAUAUGGGAACAAACAAGUAACAGCUUAUAUCUUUGAAAACUUUCACAUGUCUUCAAAAGCAAGAAGAAACAUGACAAGCAGGAAGAAAUUGUAGUGAUUGAAGGUCCCUUAAUUACAAUGAAGAGUUUUGUGGGGACUCUCCAAUCUAUGGGAUAGAUGCUAAGCUUUAUAUUACAUUUUGAUACAUUCAGAU